ACGGAAGGCAGCAGUAGGGAAUCUUCGGCAAUGGGGGCAACCCUGACCGAGCAACGCCGCGUGAGUGAAGAAGGUUUUCGGAUCGUAAAGCUCUGUUGUAAGGGAAGAACGUGUGUGAGAGUGGAAAGUUCACACAGUGACGGUAACUUACCAGAAAGGGACGGCUAACUACGUGCCAGCAGCCGCGGUAAUACGUAGGUCCCGAGCGUUGUCCGGAUUUAUUGGGCGUAAAGCGAGCGCAGGCGGUUUAAUAAGUCUGAAGUUAAAGGCAGUGGCUUAACCAUUGUUCGCUUUGGAAACUGUUAGACUUGAGUGCAGAAGGGGAGGGUGGAAUUCCAUUUGUAGGGGUGAAAUGCGUAGAUAUAUGGAGGAACACCGGUGGCGAAAGGGGCUCUCUGGUCUGUAACUGACGCUGAGGCUCGAAAGCGUGGGGAGCAAACAGGAUUAGAUACCCUGGUA
rnacentral:rRNA from 1 species